CUAAUGUUUUCCCUCGACAGUAUGUGGUUAAUUUUCAGAAUAAGAGAAUUAGGUGAAAAUGAGGCGUUGCUUGUUAAACAAGUGGAUUCAGGGAUCAAGUGUAGCUGUAGCCGGGCCUGGCUUAAGUUGGAUGCCACUAUAGAGGUGAAAAUGAGGCGUUGCUUGUUAAACAAGUGGAUGCAGGGAUCAAGUGUAGCUGUAGCCGGGUCUGGCUUAAGAUGGAUGCCUCUAUAGAGGUGAAAAUGAGGCGUUGCUUGUUAAACAAGUGGAUGCAGGGAUCAAGUGUAGCUGUAGCCGGGCCUGGCUUAAGAUGGAUGCCACUAUAGAGGUGAAAAUGAGGCGUUGCUUGUUAAACAAGUGGAUUCAGGGAUCAAGUGUAGCUGUAACCUGGCCUGGCUUAAGAUGGAUGCCACUAUAGAGGUGAAAAUGAGGCGUUGCUUGUUAAACAAGUGGAUGCAGGGAUCAAGUGUAGCUGUAACCGGGCCUGGCUUAAGAUGGAUGCCACUAUAGAGGUGAAAAUGAGGCGUUGCUUGUUAAACAAGUGGAUGCAGGGAUCAAGUGUAGCUGUAACCUGGCCUGGCUUAAACUGGAUGCCUCUAUAGAGGUGAAAAUGAGGCGUUGCUUGUUAAACAAGUGGAUUCAGGGAUCAAGUGUAGCUGUAACCUGGCCUGGCUUAAGAUGGAUGCCUCUAUAGAGGUGAAAAUGAGGCGUUGCUUGUUAAACAAGUGGAUUCAGGGAUCAAGUGUAGCUGUAACCUGGCCUGGCUUAAGAUGGAUGCCUCUAUAGAGGUGAAAAUGAGGCGUUGCUUGUUAAACAAGUGGAUUCAGGGAUCAAGUGUAGCUGUAACCUGGCCUGGCUUAAGAUGGAUGCCACUAUAGAGGUGAAAAUGAGGCGUUGCUUGUUAAACAAGUGGAUUCAGGGAUCAAGUGUAGCUGUAACCUGGCCUGGCUUAAGAUGGAUGCCU